rnacentral:rRNA from 1 species
AUUGAACGCUGGCGGCAGGCCUAGCACAUGCAAGUCGAACGGUAACAGGAAACAGCUUGCUGUUUCGCUGACGAGUGGCGGACGGGUGAGUAAUGUCUGGGAAACUGCCUGAUGGAGGGGGAUAACUACUGGAAACGGUAGCUAAUACCGCAUAACGUCGCAAGACCAAAGAGGGGGACCUUCGGGCCUCUUGCCAUCGGAUGUGCCCAGAUGGGAUUAGCUAGUAGGUGGGGUAACGGCUCACCUAGGCGACGAUCCCUAGCUGGUCUGAGAGGAUGACCAGCCACACUGGAACUGAGACACGGUCCAGACUCCUACGGGAGGCAGCAGUGGGGAAUAUUGCACAAAGGGCGCAAGCCUGAUGCGGCCAUGCCGCGUGUAUGAAGAAGGCCUUCGGGUUGUAAAGUACUUUCAGCGGGGAGGAAGGGAGUAAAGUUAAUACCUUUGCUCAUUGACGUUACCCGCAGAAGAAGCACCGGCUAACUCCGUG